CGAUCGUCGCCCGGCGGCCGUACUUUCGGCGGGCAGAGCGCCACGACCGGUUCGCGCGCGGCCAGAAACGGCAGGGCAAGGUGCCCGGCGCCUCGGCGUCGGUUCUUACAGGCCAGGCCGCGUUGGCCCGUGCGCGGACCGUGGACGACGCGGCGGCCCGUUGACCGCCGGCCGUGCGGGAGCGUUCGACUCGGGGGGACUGGCGUCCAGUGCCCUCGGACCGCGCUUCCGUACCGGUCGGACGGCGCGGCGGGUCGCCUGGGGUCGGUGGCGAAUCGACCGGCAACCUGUCCGACCCGUCUUGAAACACGGACCAAGGAGUCUAACACGUGCGCGAGUCGUUGGGCGUUACGAAACCCGAAGGCGCAAUGAAAGUGAAGGCCGGCCUCGCGUCGGCCCAGGUGGGAUCCGGGCGUCCGGCGCACCACCGGCCCGUCUCGUUCGCAACGUCGAGGAGGCGGAGCAAGAGCGUACGCGUUGGGACCCGAAAGAUGGUGAACUAUGCCUGAGUAGGACGAAGCCAGAGGAAACUCUGGUGGAGGUCCGCAGCGAUUCUGACGUGCAAAUCGAUCGUCAAACUUGGGUAUAGGGGCGAAAGACUAAUCGAACCGUCUAGUAGCUGGUUCCUGUCGAAGUUUCCCUCAGGAUAGCUACGCUCGGCAGUUUUAUCCGGUAAAGCGAAUGAU
rnacentral:rRNA from 1 species